rnacentral:RNase_P_RNA from 1 species
GCAGUCUGCCGGUCUGUCGCUCACCUUCGGGUGUGAGGAAAGUCCGGGCAACACAGAGCACCAUACUUCUUAACGGGAAGCUGUCCGUGAGGGUAGAGUAACGUAACAGAGAAUAACCGCCGGACUCGUCCGGUAAGGGUGAAAAGGUGAGGUAAGAGCUCACCGG